GGGGAACUGUGACAUAUCACACCCCCGUGGCCAGGAAGGGGGUCACAUGGACUGGUCUCAUCCAGAGCACUUUAAAGAAACUGAUAAGCUCUAUCUCAUUUAACUUGGCCUUUAGAAGACGCUUGUGGAAAUUUCUGCAAAGGAGGUGACAUCAGUUGUUGUCACAGCUGCUGUUAACCUCUGUGGAACUUCAUUCAUCAAGACUACUCAGUUUUUCUGUGAUAAAACCUGUUGUGCAACGUAAUACACAACAUUUGGAAAUUCAACACUCUUAUUACUGUCAAAGCAUAGGACUCUGUGACACACUGUGAUGUAUUACAUCUUCGGUCUAAGCACUGGCCAAGUAUAAAAGGAGGGGCCAAUUUUGAACUCUGAAACUGAGAUGUCUCUAGGUCACUCUAAAUUUGCCGGGAGACAAGACCUCACAUUUCCUGUGAAGGAGGAACUCUGUGCUGUGCCCAUAUAAUGGGAAGGACUUGGAUGCUGCACUAGGAAGACUCUCCACCCUUAAUGAGCGGGGCUACGAGUCUUCAACUGCUGGUCCCAGAGGAAAAUUCACAUGCAGACUUCAGAGUGACCACUGAUGAAGAGUGCAACGGCUUCUUGGAAAUGGGAUGUACAAUACCUUUAGAAGGGCAACUGCUCUGUAUACUCAGAUCCAGGCCUGAUACACCUUGGAUUUAAGCUUUAAGUUCUCAUCAAAUAUAAAUGAUACCAGAACUGCUGAGGUAACAACUCUUCUGAAAGGCUGAGUGAACAGGAAAAAGAAAAGUCAGCAGUGAAUAAGAGAAAUCUGGGAUUCCUUCACUUCAGGUAUUAAGUAAGGAAGAGGAAACAGCACAGGUAUAUGUCAUUAUCUUCAGGAACUCCUGUCCUGCUUAAGAACAAUAAAACUUUCAUCUGAAGUGCAUUAAUAACUGUUGCAAAGAAAGAAGGAGACAGAUAGUCAACCCUGGAAUGGGCCUUGCCCUGCUGUUGGUCGCGUGUAAUUUGUUUUUUCAUAUCACUAACCUCACAGAAUGUAAGCAAAAGUGAUACCGUUGAAAAAAGCCAAAGAAACAAAUUCAGGUUGAAAUUCAAUUAAAAACUUGAGGGUUUUUUUGUGGGUGUAUAAAUAGAAUAUUGAUAUUGAAACAUUAUUAUUAGUCUUUUCCAGAUUUCAUCUUUCACCUAUCCCUAUCUUUUUCAUCUAGUUUCAUAAUUGUGCAUGGUCAUCCCCAAACUAAAUUUUUGGGGAAAUGUGUAACUAGCCACUUUGAACAGAAAAUCCAUCCAGUUUUGUAAACAGGACCUUAUUAGGAGUUUGUGGCAGUUUCUGAGAUAUUUCUGUGUUAAUGACAGGACUUCUGGUUUUGAACUUUUCCACGUAACUCUACUUUGUUUGGUAGUACUUGGGAUGAUUCUAGAGAUAACUAGGGAUGAUUCCUGAUAAAAACAUUGAUUUAGCUUUACAGCAAGCUUUCCAAGAUGUCUUUUAGAAUAUCUUUCUGUUGCCGUUCA